rnacentral:rRNA from 1 species
GACGAACGCUGGCGGCGCGCUUAACACAUGCAAGUCGAACGGAAAGGCCUGCUUUCCCUUGUGGAUUGCGGGUACUCGAGUGGCGAACGGGUGAGUAACACGUGAGUGAUCUGCCCCCAACUUGGGUAUAAGCCUGGGAAACUGGGUCUAAUUCCCGAUAGGACUGCAGGGUGGUGCCUGUGGUGGAAAACGAUUUUCUAGUGGUUGGGGAUGAGCUCGCGGCCUAUCAGCUUGUUGGUGGGGUAAUGGCCUACCAAGGCGGCGACGGGUAGCCGGCCUGAGAGGGUGGACGGCCACAUUGGGACUGAGAUACGGCCCAGACUCCUACGGGAGGCAGCAGUGGGGAAUAUUGCACAAUGGGCGGAAGCCUGAUGCAGCGACGCUGCGUGGGGGAUGACGGCCUUCGGGUUGUAAACUCCUUUCGACCGCGAGGAAGCCACCUGGUUGGAAGGGUGGUGACGGUAGUGGUAGAAGAAGCACCGGCUAACUACGUG